GCGGGUUUAGCUCAGUUGGGAGAGCGUCAGACUGAAGUUCACUUCAUCAUUGUAUCUGAAGGUCAUGUGUUCGAUCCACAUAAACCGCA